AGGAGCAGCCUUGACCCACACACAGAGACCCCGCAGCGUGUGAGCGAGUACCCACGACAACGGCGCACCUAUUGGAUUGGGUGGGGUGGGGGGGUGUAGAUAGAGGGAGGGAGGGUGAGAGGGUGAGGAAGGGAAUGGUGGUGAGGAAGAGAGAGAGGGAGAGGGGAGGAGAAUUAGACAGACUGACUGACUGACUGAGUGAUUAACAGUGAGAAGAGGUCAGGGUGGAGGGGGGAGGGGGGGCCAGUGUCUUUAUCAUAUUGGUCUGUUGACAGAAAGCAUAGCUGCGUCAUGUGACUCCACUAAUCAGGUCACAAGGAGCAGCUGUGAGCCACAGACAGAUCCUGCAGCGUGUGAUGCUCGUACCUCGACAACGACCCACCUGUGCGGCUGCAAAAGGGGAGACAUGGCAGCUAGUUACACAGAAUCCACACCUCAGACAAAUGGGAACCAGCGAAAAACUAUAACAGCUAUCUAAAAAAUACGGCGUUUGUAUGAGACCCAAG
ensembl:lncRNA